GAUGAACGCUGGCGGCGUGCCUAAUACAUGCAAGUCGAGCGAACGGACGAGAAGCUUGCUUCUCUGAUGUUAGCGGCGGACGGGUGAGUAACACGUGGAUAACCUACCUAUAAGACUGGGAUAACUUCGGGAAACCGGAGCUAUUACCGGAUAAUAUUUUGAACCGCAUGGUUCAAAAGUGAAAGACGGUCUUGCUGUCACUUAUAGAUGGAUCCGCUCUGCAUUAGCUAGUUGGUAAGGUAACGGCUUACCAAGGCAACGAUGCAUAGCCGACCUGAGAGGGUGAUCGGCCACACUGGAACUGAGACACGGUCCAGACUCCUACGGGAGGCAGCAGUAGGGAAUCUUCCGCAAUGGGCGAAAGCCUGACGGAGCAACGCCGCGUGAGUGAUGAAGGUCUUCGGAUCGUAAAACUCUGUUAUUAGGGAAGAACAUAUGUGUAAGUAACUGUGCACAUCUUGACGGUACCUAAUCAGAAAGCCACGGCUAACUACGUG
rnacentral:rRNA from 1 species